CUCAAAUCCUGUGGGUCAGCAAUUCUGCCUGGUCUGGUCUCAGCUGGGUAGUUCUUCUGUUGUCUCACCUGAGGUCACAUAUGCAACUGUGAUCAGUUAGCGCCUCCGCUGGGAUGGACACUCCGAGGUGGCCUCACUUGCCCGUCUGGUGCCUCAGCUGGGAUGGCUGAAUGAUGCACUGCCAGGCCUCGCUCUUCACAGCAAGGGCAGCAUUCCAAAAGGACAAACUCCAAGGCAAUAGUCAUGUUGGCUGACACCCUAUGGGCCAAAGCAAGUCACAUGUCCAAGCUCAGGGUCAAGGUGGGAGCAGAGACAGGAGAAACUCUUCACCUACAGCCUAUAGCACCACCCCUUCCAGUCCUACAGCAACAACAUCUGGCCAGUUCUAAUCUCAGCUUCCCCGUGAAGCCUCUUUAGGUUGCUCCCGCCUUCACAGGAUGUUUUCAAUACACGAUCUACAUAGGCUGAGUAGUGAAGUUAUUAAUAAUCCCGUAGGCUUGAUGAGCUUCUUCAUAUCCAUCACCUCACUGAAUCCCUACAGGAGACC
rnacentral:lncRNA from 1 species